AUCAACUUUCGAUGGUAGGAUAGAGGCCUACCAUGGUGGUAACGGGUAACGGGGUGUUAGGGCACGACACCGGAGAGGGAGCCUGAGAAACGGCUACCACAUCCAAGGAUGGCAGCAGGCGCGCAAAUUACCCAAUCCCGACACGGGGAGGUAGUGACAAUAAAUAACAAUACGGGGUCCUUUCGGGUUUCGUAAUUGGAAUGAGUACAAUUUAAAUCUCUUAACGAGGAACAAUUGGAGGGCAAGUCUGGUGCCAGCAGCCGCGGUAAUUCCAGCUCCAAUAGCGUAUAUUAAAGUUGUUGCAGUUAAAAAGCUCGUAGUUGAAUUUCGGGAUUAGUACGCUGGUCGUGCCUUCGGUAUGUACUGGUGUUACUGGUUCCUACCUUCUGACGAACCGUCAUGUCAUUAAUUUGGUGUGGCGGGAAAUCAGGACUGUUACUUUGAAAAAAUUAGAGUGUUUAAAGCAGGCUCGCGCUUGAAUACAUUAGCAUGGAAUAAUGAAAUAGGACGUUCGAUCCUAUUUUGUUGGUUUCUAGGAUUGACGUAAUGAUUAAUAGGGAUAGUUGGGGGCAUUAGUAUUCAAUUGUCAGAGGUGAAAUUCUUGGAUUUAUUGAAGACUAACUACUGCGAAAGCAUUUGCCAAGGAUGUUUUCAUUAAUCAAGAACGAAAGUUAGGGGAUCGAAGACGAUCAGAUACCGUCGUAGUCUUAACCAUAAACUAUGCCGACUAGGGAUCGGAUGAUGUUAUUUUUAAUGACUCAUUCGGCGCCUUACGGGAAACCAAAGUGUUUGGGUUC
rnacentral:rRNA from 1 species